GAGUUUGAUCAUGGCUCAGAAUGAACGCUGGGGCGUGCUUAACACAUGCAAGUCGUACGAGAAAUCCUUGGCUUGCCAGGGAGAGUAAAGUGGCGCACGGGUGAGUAACGCGUGGGUAAUCUACCCUUGGAUUCAGGAUAACACUUCGAAAGGGGUGCUAAUACUGGAUAACAUCCUGAUGGUUUUGGCCAUAAGGAUCAAAGAUAGCCUCUACAUGUAAGCUAUUGUACAGGGAUGAGCCCGCGUACCAUUAGCUAGUUGGUGGGGUAAGAGCCUACCAAGGCAACGAUGGUUAGCUGGUCUGAGAGGAUGAUCAGCCACACUGGGACUGAAACACGGUCCAGACUCCUACGGGAGGCAGCAGUGAGGAAUUUUGCGCAAUGGGGGAAACCCUGACGCAGCAACGCCGCGUGAGUGAAGAAGGCUUUCGGGUCGUAAAGCUCUGUCAAGAGGGAAGAAAGUGGAAAGUGGUAAUACUAUUUUCCAUUGACGGUACCUCUGAAGGAAGCACCGGCUAACUCCGUGCCAGCAGCCGCGGUAAUACGGGGGGUGCAAGCGUUAUUCGGAUUUAUUGGGCGUAAAGAGCGCGUAGCGGUUUAUCAAGUCAGAUGUGAAAGCCCUGGCUCAACCUGG
rnacentral:rRNA from 1 species